UAUUUAAAAGGCGAGGUGGUAUGGUUAGGUCACUAUAAUUAAAUAAAUAUUUUAAUUAUUAACUUUAUAAAAGUAACUUGUGUCUCACCGUCGUUCACAUCUUUCUCUUUUAACUUUCACCGUCGUUCACCUAAUUCAUCCAACACUCCAACGCCUCAACUCUGUAUGUAAUAGACAGAGUUUCCAUCUCCUUCGUCCUCCAUUGUCACUCGUUUUCGGAGUUAGGGGUCUCUGUUAGGGUUUAAGCGGCGGUUAGUAGCACACCCUUUCUACCGAACUUCUCCAACUCGAUUCUUCUCAGAUCUUUGAAACUCCCGUAAGUUCUCCUUGUUUUCCAUUGAUUCUCUUCACCGUCUUCUCGUCCCUGCUUAUUUUCUUUCAAUUUGGAGCUCCUCUCAGAAUUAGGGUACAUAAAGUAUUGUAUAUAAAUGGAAUAGUACAAAUGUAUGUCCAUAUAGUAUAGUAAUUGUGAGAUUGUUGAUGAAAUUUUCCAUGUUGAUGGCGAAGAACUGUGGCGAAUAAUAGAGUUUCAAAGACUCUUAUGGUGAGAGACAAGACUUGUGCAGUGGCGAUCACCUCUAUAUCUACAAUCGAAACCAAUGUAGUUAUUUAUGCAUAUAGAAUAGAAAUGUAAAACAAUAUGUAUUUUCAUAUUUUGUAAUAUGAUUUAUUUUGUUACUAUACUAUUUUAUCAUGUUUUAUUCUAUUUGACGGUUACUAAAAAGUGAUAUUUUGUUUAUACAUAUAGUUUGUAAUUUUCUUAAGUUCUCACUAUGGCUACAUGUUUUUGAAUCUGUAAAAAACAUACUAUGAUCUACAUUGUAUAAUUUAAUAUUACAUAUAUAAUAUUAUGUAUUUUUUUAGAUUUUGAUACGUGGGUUUAGGGUUUAUAUUUGGGUUAGUGUUUAGUGAUUAAAGUUUAGGGUUUAGUAUUUAAAAGGCGAGGUGGUAUGGUUAGGUCAUCAUUAACUUCUUUCCAUGCAAUUAUAUACAUUUUAUAAUUUUACCAGUAUGUAUUGUGUUAUUUAUUUUGUUCUAUUCUAUUUGGGUUUAGAGAUUAUAUUUGGGUUUAGGGUUUAGGGUUUAGGAUUUAUGGUUUAUGAUUUAGGGUUUAGGGUUUAAGGUUUAAUCAAUACAACUUGUCUGUGUGAGAUCUUUUAUGCAUAAUCUAUUUGAAAUAGAAUAUGAAAAAUUAUAUGUUCAAACUAUUCUAUUUGAGAUAGAAUCGAUUAACAAACUAUUCUACUUGAGAUGAAAUUGCAUGAUCUGUAACAAAUGCGCUAUCUUUCUGCAUCAUCGUAAUGUUUGAAAUAUAAAAAGUUCAUUUCUAUAUAAAAUACAAUGGAUUACUCUGUUAUAACCAUGUUUCCAGAUAUUAUCAUUUGAAAAGCAUCGAAUACUUACAACACAUAUAUCUUGGCCUGUAAUACGUGAAUUAUGCUAUUUAUCUAUAUGGAAUAGCAAUUUUAAUAACAUCAAAUAUCCAUUACAUUUACAUAUGUUUUGUUACACAUACAAAUAUUAUUACCUAAUGUCGAUGCAUACUCU
rnacentral:lncRNA from 1 species